UGCCAGCAGCCGCGGUAAGACGGAGGGCGCAAGCGUUGUUCGGAAUUACUGGGCGUAAAGCGCACACAGGCGGUUUGUUAAGUCCACUGUGAAACUCCGGGGCUCAACCCCGGACAUGCAGUGGAUACUGGCAGGCUAGAGAUCGGUAGAGGCUAAUGGAAUUCCUGGUGUAGCGGUGGAAUGCGUAGAUAUCAGGAAGAACACCGGUGGCGAAGGCGGUUAGCUGGGCCGAAUCUGACGCUCAUGUGCGAAAGCGUGGGGAGCAAACAGGAUUAGAUA
rnacentral:rRNA from 1 species